rnacentral:rRNA from 1 species
UACGUAGGGUGCAAGCGUUUGUCCGGAAUUAUUGGGCGUAAAGAGCUCGUAGGCGGUCUGUCACGUCGGCUGUGAAAUCCCGAGGCUCAACCUCGGGUCUGCAGUCGAUACGGGCAAACUAGAGUAUUGCAGGGGAGACUGGAAUUCCUGGUGUAGCGGUGAAAUGCGCAGAUAUCAGGAGGAACACCGGUGGCGAAGGCGGGUCUCUGGGCAAUAACUGACGCUGAGGAGCGAAAGCGUGGGGAGCGAACAGG